rnacentral:rRNA from 1 species
CCCCUGUUUGGGGGGGGCUAAUACAUGCAAGUCGAGCGAACAGAUGAGAAGCUUGCUUCUCUGAUGUUAGCGGCGGACGGGUGAGUAACACGUGGGUAACCUACCUAUAAGACUGGGAUAACUCCGGGAAACCGGGGCUAAUACCGGAUAAUAUUUUGAACCGCAUGGUUCAAUAGUGAAAGACGGUUUCGGCUGUCACUUAUAGAUGGACCCGCGCCGUAUUAGCUAGUUGGUAAGGUAACGGCUUACCAAGGCGACGAUACGUAGCCGACCUGAGAGGGUGAUCGGCCACACUGGAACUGAGACACGGUCCAGACUCCUACGGGAGGCAGCAGUAGGGAAUCUUCCGCAAUGGGCGAAAGCCUGACGGAGCAACGCCGCGUGAGUGAUGAAGGUCUUCGGAUCGUAAAACUCUGUUGUUAGGGAAGAACAAAUUUGUUAGUAACUGAACAAGUCUUGACGGUACCUAACCAGAAAGCCACGGCUAACUACGUGCCAGCAGCCGCGGUAAUACGUAGGUGGCAAGCGUUAUCCGGAAUUAUUGGGCGUAAAGCGCGCGUAGGCGGUUUCUUAAGUCUGAUGUGAAAGCCCACGGCUCAACCGUGGAGGGUCAUUGGAAACUGGGAAACUUGAGUGCAGAAGAGGAGAGUGGAAUUCCAUGUGUAGCGGUGAAAUGCGCAGAGAUAUGGAGGAACACCAGUGGCGAAGGCGGCUCUCUGGUCUGUAACUGACGCUGAUGUGCGAAAGCGUGGGGAUCAAACAGGAUUAGAUACCCUGGUAGUCCACGCCGUAAACGAUGAGUGCUAAGUGUUAGGGGGUUUCCGCCCCUUAGUGCUGCAGCUAACGCAUUAAGCACUCCGCCUGGGGAGUACGACCGCAAGGUUGAAACUCAAAGGAAUUGACGGGGACCCGCACAAGCGGUGGAGCAUGUGGUUUAAUUCGAAGCAACGCGAAGAACCUUACCAAAUCUUGACAUCCUUUGACCGCUCUAGAGAUAGAGUCUUCCCCUUCGGGGGACAAAGUGACAGGUGGUGCAUGGUUGUCGUCAGCUCGUGUCGUGAGAUGUUGGGUUAAGUCCCGCAACGAGCGCAACCCUUAAGCUUAGUUGCCAUCAUUAAGUUGGGCACUCUAGGUUGACUGCCGGUGACAAACCGGAGGAAGGUGGGGAUGACGUCAAAUCAUCAUGCCCCUUAUGAUUUGGGCUACACACGUGCUACAAUGGAUAAUACAAAGGGCAGCGAAUCCGCGAGGCCAAGCAAAUCCCAUAAAAUUAUUCUCAGUUCGGAUUGUAGUCUGCAACUCGACUACAUGAAGCUGGAAUCGCUAGUAAUCGUAGAUCAGCAUGCUACGGUGAAUACGUUCCCGGGUCUUGUACACACCGCCCGUCACACCACGAGAGUUUGUAACACCCGAAGCCGGUGGAGUAACCUUUUAGGAGCUAGCCGUCGAAGGGGGGCAAAUGGG